CACACACACACACAAACAGGUUUAACAAAUUAUUUUAUUUGGAUCUACAAGCAAAACAAAGUUUUCACAAACAUUAAUUAGAAGGUUUCAAUCUGAAAACUAACCAGACACUGAAUGUGCAAAAUGCUUAAGCACGCAGAGGAGUAGAGAUGAAAUUAUGAUGGUUUAGCUGAGGUUAAAGCAUUGCAUUGCAUACAAUAUGGCAUUCAGGGAUAGACAACACAACGUCUUUUCCAGAUGUGGAGGCUGCCUAUGGUCGCUGAGACUGAGCAGAAUUUUAGAACUCUUUUCGCAUCAGCCUUUUGCAGUCCACCCAUCUGCAAACCUCGGAGCACAAGUUUGUGUACAUGCCCCAGACUUCCGAACACAACUAUGAUUAAUUGGCAGUUAUAUCCUAGAGCUGUGAUACAUUCUACCAAUGGCUGGUAUUUCAUGAAUUUGGAUGUGAAGCAAGUGUCCAUAUACAGAUCAAACGCACAGCCUAUUUCAAAGAUGGUAACUGAUUUUCUGGCUUGGUUAAUGAAAACAAUGUCCGGGGUGUUUGGGAUGUUAUACAGUAUGUUGUUAUCAGUACAAUUAUGAUCAAACCAGUUCAAUUUCACAGUGCUGUGCUUAUACAUAAUAAUAAUAAUAAUAAUACAUUUUAUUUCAAGCGCCUUUCAUGACACCCAAGGUCGCUUCACAAACAAUCAUCUCAUUACAAUUACAAUAAUCUCAUAGAAAUAAAUAGAAAUAAGAAAAAUAAAAGUCAGUCAGUCAGUCCAUAAGCUAUCUUGAAGAAAUUAGUUUUAAGUCUGCUUUUAAAGUCAGUAAUUGAGUCACAGUGUCUGAUGUAGUCUGGCAGUGAAUUCCACAACUUGGGGGCGAUGUAGCUGAAAGCCCUCUCUCCCAGGGUGCUGAGGUUCGCCUUAGGGACAUGCAGUAGGCCUGCUGUGGAGGAUCUCAGUGAGCGGGCAGGAGUGUAGGAUUCCAGGAGGUCAGAGAGGUAGGUGGGGGUAUUGUUGUGGGGUAUUGACAGAACAACAUGUGUGUUGUUCUGUCCUGUACUUGUCUGAGUUCUUGUGAGACCAAGUCCACCAGACGGUCAUGUCUGGCGAUGUACAGUCCUUUGUAAAAGCUACAGCCGUUUAGGAUAUGAGCCAUUGUCUCUUUAUUGUCUGGGGUGGGAUGUAGGAUGCAGUGUGGGUUGUGUUGCGAUGGAUAGCAGAUUGCCAGGUUGUAUUUUUUUGGCAAUACCUGUAAGCGGGCCUUAAUGCAAAAGAUAAGGACGUCCUCUCCAAUGGUCGUGUUUGAGAGGAUUGAGUGGGACACAGAGUGGUUUGCAAAGGGUAGCAGUGCCAGUUUGCCCUGCAGGCUUAAGCUAGUCCAAUGCUGCGCACUCUCUUCUACUUUCAUUCUUAGCAUUGUGGCUCUCGCUGUUUUGAUUGACAGCUCGUGUUGCCCAUCUUCCUGUUCAAAGGUCGCGCAUACAUUGAUGAGCGGGUCCAUGACAACAGAGUUCAGUGCAACAGGUGUACCAUCGGGCCCCGCCCACUUCAGAUUUAUUCCUGAGCGGUGGCACAGGUCAUUGAGAUCCAUCCAGUCUGACCGCACACCGAAGCCUGCAGUUCUGAUGUCCAGUUUUCCAUUAUCUUUUAUUUUGAAUCCGAGGAAUUGCCGCUCAUUCUCCUUCGCAGGUGGGAUUUUGCGUCGCUGCAUAUGCAGGAGGAGUGAUUCACGGGCCAUUUCCCGGACUGUCACGUCGUCGCAGUUGAGCAUCUUGAGGAGGUGGUUGGUUCUGGUGGCGGUGUAGACCCACUCAAUGUUUGGGACUCCGGGACCUCCAUCUCCGCGGGCUUGGAAGAUGAUGUCACGGGUCGAGUGGGUGUUUAAGCCAAGCCAUUUCCUCACCAGGCUCACCGUCUUGUUUGUCAUCUCUGUGAGGAUGUUCUGAGGUCACCUACCAAAUCUAUGGGCCCGUUGGCUGUGUCACCGUCAGCAGUUACCAGGGACCGUCCUGCCGUCGCCUCUACCCACCACGGGACCUCCACCCUCUCCGGCUACCCACCACGGGACCACCACCGUCACCGUCAGCAGACGAUUGAUCUGGACUCAAGCUGUAGGCCUACCAGUCAGAUGAGUCACUCAGUGGAGGAGGCCUGUCCUUUGUGGCUCCAGCCUUCAUGAGGAGAGAGAAGCCCGGCCAGGUGAGAGUCUGCUCACCUGAAGAGACAGACUCUGAGGAGGAGCAGCUCUGGACCUCUGGAUUGACCGGUGCUCGAGUGUGGAAGCCACCACCAGUCAGACAGGGGUCUCUACAACAGCCCAGUACGUCAGAUGCAGUUUCUGUACAGAGUCUCUCAGGGCGGGGCUGGAGUGACCAGGAGGUCUCUGGAGGGCCCACUCCUUCUCAUCCAGAGAUCGACCCCCCCGGAGGAGGAGUAGAGAGGGGCUCUGCAGUCCAGGAGGAGGUCUCCUUGGGUUAGCUCUGAUCCCACCACUGCUUCCCUGCCAAAACACCUUUUUGUGCACGUAUAGUGUGUGUGUGUGUGUGUGUGUGUGUGUGUGUGUGUGUGUGUGUGUGUGUGUGUGUGUGUGUGUGUGUGUGUGUGUGUGUGUGUGUGUGUGUGUGUGUGUGUGUGUGUGUGUGUGUGUGUGUGUGUGUGAGAAUCAGUUCUCCAUGAACAUAUGAAGGGCUCAAGUGUUUAUUCAAGAAAGACGAACCUGAGAAAUGUUCUCAGAGUUAACUACCAAGAACCGGAAGUACCUAAGGAUGACGACUACUUCUGUAAGAGGGCUCACUCACUCUGUCUCUGUCUCUGUCUCUGUCUCUGUCUGUCUCUGUCUCUGUCUCUGUCUCUGUCUCUGUCUCUGUCUCUGUCUCUGUCUCUGUCUCUCUCUCUGUCUCUGUCUCUCUCUCCCCACCUCUUUUUCCCCACCUCUUUUUCAUUCACAAACCAAUUUUUAAUCUUCCUGUUUCUGUCUAUUUAAUAUAGAUUUGUAGCUGAAGCUCUCUUGGACGUUAUAAAUAAAUGAACUCUCCAGUCUGUGAUGAGUGUAGGACUUUCUUCCUCGAAGAGUGCGCGGUCCACGGUCCUAUCGUCUUCAUGGCUGAUCGCCCCGUUGCUGUCAGAGAGAAAGACCGAGCCAAGAAGACGCUGCCCGCUGGGUUUGAGAUCAGAGAUUCUAGGAUCCCUGGGGCCGGUCUAGGGGUGUUUUACUGUGGAGACGGUGGCCUUCCCAUUGGAACACACUUUGGACCCUACGAAGGACACAGGACAGAUGAAGAGGGAGCCCUAGAGUGGAUACUCCUGGGAGAUCUACAAGAGCAGACACAAUGAUUACAUUGAUGCAAAGAGAGACACUUUCUAACUGGAUGAGGUACGUCAAUUGUGCUCGUAAUGAAGAGGAACAGAACCUAAUAGCGUUUCAGCACAAAGGAGGAAUUCCUUAUCGCACCUGUGGCCUCGUGACUUCAGGAGCAGAGCUCUUGGUCUGGUAUGGGGACGAAUACGCCAGACAUCUGGGAAUCGGAUUUGAUCGACUGUGGAACAACAAGAGCUCUACUAAAGGUCUGCCUUCAAGUCUGUCUUUCUGUCAGGGUUUGGUUUCUAUGCGGCACUUCAUGACCACAUCUCUCAUUUUAAUUCAAAAGAGCUUGGACAAUAAACAUCUACAUUAACAAGGCAGUUAAGAAAUUAUACAGGAAAUAGUAAAGUUUUACCAUACAUUUAAAUAUAAUAAACAAAAGAUGACAACAUAAUAGAAAAAUAUUCUUACUUGGAAAAAUGUCU